UACGUAGGGUGCGAGCGUUGUCCGGAAUUAUUGGGCGUAAAGAGCUCGUAGGCGGUUUGUCGCGUCUGCUGUGAAAACGCGAGGCUCAACCUCGCGCCUGCAGUGGGUACGGGCAGACUGGAGUGCGGUAGGGGAGAUUGGAAUUCCUGGUGUAGCGGUGGAAUGCGCAGAUAUCAGGAGGAACACCGAUGGCGAAGGCAGAUCUCUGGGCCGUAACUGACGCUGAGGAGCGAAAGCGUGGGGAGCGAACAGG
rnacentral:rRNA from 1 species